CAUCAGAUGACUGAAAGUAAGUAAUGGUCUCUUAAACCAAAAUAUAGUAAGUUAACAUUUACUUCUGAUGA
rnacentral:tRNA from 2 species